UACGUAGGGGGGCAAGCGUUGUCCGGAAUCAUUGGGCGUAAAGCGCGUGUAGGCGGCUUGGUAAGUCCGCUCUGAAAGCCCGGGGCUCAACCCCCGGAAGGCGGGUGGAUACUGUCAAGCUCGAGUCCGGAAGAGGCGAGUGGAAUUCCUGGUGUAGCGGUGAAAUGCGUAGAUAUCGGGAGGAACACCAGUGGCGAAGGCGACUACCUGGCCUGUUCUUGACGCUGAGGCGCGAAAGCGAUGGGGAGCAAACAGGGAUUAAGAAACCCGU
rnacentral:rRNA from 1 species